rnacentral:tRNA from 1 species
CAAAGUGUAGCUUAUCCAAAGCACCUGGCCUACACCCAGAAGAUUCCAUAGAAACAUGGCCACUUUGA